rnacentral:lncRNA from 7 species
GCAUCUCCCAGGAGAAGCUGCUGUGUGAGGAGAAGCUCGUGUGGCGCCCUGCUGUGAUGGAGGCACACCGAAGAGGAAUAAUGGCUAUUAUCCAGAAUCAUUUUGCAUGCGUCUACAUAGUACAUCGCUUAACGAGAAAACCAUGCAGCUGUUUUAUGAACAGGAUGAGAUCUUUCCCUACUGUAGAGUAGUAACUUACGUAGAAUAGUCUACAAAUCCUAUGUAUGAUGUUUGUCCAUAUUACUUGCUAUUCAUCUUGUUCUUCCCAUGCUGCCUGUAACUAGGAGUUUCACUUGGAGAUUCCUUUGUCUUUUUCUACACUGAGCACUGUUAUUUACCCAGGCUUUGUGUUUUAAGGACACAAUUAAUGAGUCUUGUUAAGAUAGGCCUGUUAUUGUUGGGUUUUUGUGGAACCUUGUCUUGUUUGUGAAUCCAUUUCUCUAACUGUACUCUGUUUUCCUUGGUUUAUUUCUCUUCAUAUCCAGAUUCUGUAAGGCAGCUCAGCUGCAGCUGCCACAUCUGUUCUCUGAAUAAAAUAGCCUCAAAG